AUAGCACCAGAGCGAGACUCCAUCUCAAAACAAACAAACAAAAUGCUGACAUGUGACUUCUUAAUUUGCUUUUUAAUACAAAGCUUGAUUUCCGGGAACUUUCAAACCAGUCAUUUUGGCUUUUAAUCUAAGCUUAAAGCUAUAAUUUUUGAGUGUUCCAGGAUAACAAUGUUUUGUUCUAAUUCUUUGGAUUUGACCUUGCAACUGUAAUAAUCUAAGAAACCACAGCAUCAAAGUUAGGAAGCUAAUAGGCAUACAACACCCCCCUUCACUGCGCCAGUUUCUAAUUCUCUAGAAUAGUGAAACACACUUUCUUAGAAGGUCAAAAAGAAUUCUUAGGUAAUUUUCUUUUAGAUUAAAAAUACUUUUCAGCUUAAAUCCAGACUGUCAGUAUGUAGAAGGUUUAAACAUGAUCAACUGUUGCCCACUGAUAAUAGCUAAAAAUUUAAGGGCUUUACAGUUCAAGUAGGGCUUUUAACAUAGAUUAUUUAACUUAAUCUUCACAAUAACCCCAUGUUGUAUAUAAUGGUGUAACUGACUUGCAGAUGGUUAAAUAGGCUCUGCAAUGCUAAGCAAUGAUUUGACACGUUUACACAACAAAGAAAUGCACCUUGGAUUUGAAUUCAGACCCCCUGACUUCCAAAGCAAGGAUCAUACAUUUUUGGUGUAAAGCAGAAGGAAGCCCUGGAGGAAACUUAGGCAAGUAUUGUGGCAAUAUAACUCGUUAGUAACCCGGCGUCCAGCAGGGGGCAGAGCCCAUCCAUGUUCCCAAGUGGGCUUCCCCUUGAGAGAACUUACAGGUUCGGUCUGCAGGCGGCUUCCCGCUGCUGUGUCCCAGGGCAGUUAUCCAGCGGGCUCGCUCGCUCCUAAAACAGAGGGCAGAUCCAACUGAGAGACUCAAGGUGUAAAAACACAGAAUGGAGUGUUUUCUAGGCAGCCAAUGCAAAGGCACUCCCAGAAAACAAGAGAUUCUCUAGAGAGGUAUGGUAAAACAGGGUGAGAGUAGUUUAAAAGUGAUAAGCUGGAAAGUCUAAAAUAAGCAGGAGACUAGUCAUCAUUGUCAAAAGAGUCUGAAUGAACUUGGCUCAUUAUUGAUUAAAAGGAACUUCCCAUAUGACAGUUUAAAAGUUAAUAAGGAGCUGAUUACACGAACACAUUAUAACUCCAAAAGGUAUUUAGCAUACCCAUAAUUUGAUGUUUAACAUUUCAAAAGCAGUUAAGUUUCAUUUUUUAAAAAUCCUACUAAUUUCUCUGCUUCCUCCCCACUUCCCUUCCCACACACUCAAACCUUUCCGUAAACUUGAGAAACUUGACAUAUUUAGUUGUCUCAUCCCUCAUACAACUAAUUUUGCCAAAUAUGAGUCUUACUGAAAUAGAAAUUCUUUGGCCACUUUUACACUGUUCCCAAAUGCUUAAAAUGGUUUAAUGAGCACAGGAAAAAUGACCAAUACUUUUAAUAUAAUAUUAAGCUAUAAUUACAUAAAAAUAAUUAUUCAACUAAAGGAUCAAAAGUUUCAGAUAAGCAAGCACUUCUCUACAUAAUGCAGUCACCCUGGUUUUUUAUUUUGAGCACCAAGUAUUAAAAUUACAAUUAAUUAAAUACUGCCCCGCCACACACAUACUUUUAACUCUCUUAUGUAUUUAUUAAACACAUGCUACAUGUCAGACACUGCACUCAACAUCCACUAUUCCAUGUAAUCCUCUCAAAAGCCCAUCUGAAGGAUGCUAAGAUCAGACAGAAGUUCAGAGGCAAGCAAUUCAAACCAAAGUCAGUUUCUACUGUGCCACUCUACAUUCUUAAGAAAAAAUGCCUUCAUGACCAACACCUGGGGAAAAAAACUCUUCUCUCAUAGCAGCCUGAAUCUACAGAUGCUUGUCGCUGUCACCCCACCUUCAUCCCCAUAUGCAUCCUUCCAACCCAGGCAGAGAGGAUGACUUACCGCAUUGGAACAUAGCACCCUUGCCCCAGCCUUUCCUAUUCCUUCCCUGUUUUUGCGUAGAUAAGCCCACUCAUUAUUGCCAUUAAAAUUUCUUAACAUACAUAACAUAAACUGAGUUAAUCAUAAGCGUGUACAGCUCUGUGUUUACUUACCAAGACACAGAUGCGCCAGGCAUUUCCAUUCUGACCCUUUCCAAUCAAUAACCUCUGUCCAAAGGUGACUGCUCUUGUUUUCCAUUACCAUGGAAUUUCUAUUACCAUGCUUCUUUUGUACUUUUUGCAAAUGAAAUCCUUUAGUAUGUAUGCUUUUGUAUUUGGCUUCUUUUGCUCAACAUAUAUCCACUCAAUGCUGAAAACACAAGGCUCACUUCCUCCAGUGGGGGCUCCUCUGAUACAUAAACCAAUCCUUCCAUCUCCAUCCCAGUCUGAUAAUCCUGUUUCUAGGGCACCCCUCUGCACAAUUCUAUUAUAUUGCUGGUCAACAGUAAGCCUCAUAAAAGCAGGCAGCUUAUCCAUUUGGUUCACUGCAUUAUCUCUACAACAUUGCCCAACACGUAACAGGGGCUCAGUAUAUGUCUGCUAAUGAAUGAAUUAUAUAACUCAUCACAUAUUGAGCCCAAUCAUUUACUGACUCAUCUGCUUCUCUUACCAGGCUAUAAACUCCAGAAUGGCAGGAAUUGGGCCUUGUUCUAAAUAAUAUUCUGAAGCACCUAUGUGUCAGAGGACAAAGCAAGUCUGGUAUGUUAAGCACCUAACCCAGGCAGUCUGAAAUCAAAGAGGUGGUGUUACGCAGCAGGUGUUUACAAAAUAAUGAUGGAAGGCAGGAAGGGUGGAAACUGUGGUAUCUUGAAAGACAGGCAUUUUCAAAGAUUAAGAUGAGGCUGGGCCUUGAUCAAGAUGGUGUGUCAAGUAGUAAUAUGCACAAUUUAUAUAGAAGCCAAGGCUCCUGUCUUGCUUUUAAAACCUCUCUCUCUCUCUCUCUCUCUAAUACAGGACAAAGGGCUUUACAAUAGUUCUGUAAGAAAUAAGCAAAGCACAACUUCAUGUAAAAUAAUUCCCAGGCAAACACUUGUAUCUUUGCUAUGAUGUCUUUAUUGGGAAUAAGAUCUAUUUUUUACACAGGCUCAAGUGGAAUUUGCAAAGUACAAAGCCAAUCGAAAACAAAAUACCUCAUGAAUAGAAGUGUUGCUCACCAAGAGAAAUCUAAAAUGAUCCAUUUGUGUCUCUCUAUGCCAUACUGAAACAAAUUAUACAUAGCCUAUACUGCUGUCUUCUGGAGCAAUUUAGAGCAACUUGGAGCCAGUGAGGCAGAUCUUCCUGUACACAGACACCGUCUCUGGCACUGAGUGGCCAGUAUCAGCAGUGGCUUUGCCCUACAGCCAGUUUCCAGAAGUCCAGAUGAAAUCUUUCACUUCUGUGGCAUGCUGCCUGGAUGCUAAUAGCAUCUCUUAGACAUGGCCACCCCUCACAGGGACUCCAGAGGAUAGAACAAGACACUCCUUGUUGCUAUCACUAAAAGGAGCAGCUUUUUGAGACUUUCAAUUGAGUGAGUCCCACCCCCCCCUCUUAGAUGCUGUCAAAUCCACAGGACUUCCCCUGGGGCUUUCAAGAGUCUGCCAAGAGGCCGGGCGGGGCGGCUCACACUUGUAAUCCCAGCACUUUUGGAGGCCGAGGCAGGGAUCACCUGAGGUCAGGAGUUCGAGACCAGCCUGACCAACAUGGAGAAACCCCAUCUCUGCUAAAAAUACAAAAUUAGCUGGGCGUGGUGGUGCACGCCUGUAAUCCCAGCUACUCAGGAGGCUGAGGCAGAGAAUUGCUUCAACCUGGGAGGCGGAGGUUGCGGUGAGCCAAGAGUGCACCAUUGCACUCCAGCCUAGGCGACAAGAGCAAAACUCCGUCUCAAAAAAAAAGAGCCUGCUAAGGAGCUCCCCCAGCUAUGAAGCAGAAAGUACUACAUCUCUAAAGCAGGAACUAAGUUGUUAUAAGAUGGAUUCUAGGGACAGGAAAAACCAGGGCAUAGACUUACCCACGAUUAAAUUUAGACAUGAAGUCUAGGGCUCACUCACAGACAUCUAUUUUCUCCAGGGACGUAUCGAUAUAAAACAAUUGAGAUGAAUUCACAAUCUACCACACAGCCAGUUCACAGACUUUUCCCUUUGCACAAAGUGACAAGAGUAAGCAAUGCUGCACUGAAUCCCAUCUGUGGCAUAUCAACUUUGAAGACUCGCCUUACCACUCCUUCCUCUACCCACAUUCACUUUGCACAGGCCCUGGGCUAGCUUGGAGAGGUGCACAGCAAAUACACUGGAGUCCCUUGCUUUUUACCGCCCUCAGUAUGAGGGAACACACAGAGCAGAAAACACUCACAAAAUCCAAUACAGCAUGCAGUGUGCUGAAAUGGAACACUCUACCAAAACAUUUGACCUACGUAGAGAAAGACGACUAAAUUGAAAAGAGACUCUUUUAACUUAAAUGUCUAUAAAUGUAGUCUUUUCAUAACCCUCAAGUUCUCCAUGCAUGGCAUGAAAUGAUGUUUCUACAGUUUCCUAUCAGCUAUGGUAGCACCUUGUCCUGUCUCUCAUAUAAUUCAUUAUGCACAGUAGGUUUAACUUAAUUGCAUGAAGGUCAAAGAUACAGCAAAGUCUCACUUCUUAUGGAAUACCAGGCAUCAGCUACAAAACAUAGAUACAUACUGAGAAAGUAGGAAGUAGGCUUUGAAAUCACAGAGACAGGGCUGCAGGUGAGGCUGCACAGAACAGAACAUUGGCUGAGGACUCCAUCACUAACAGGGUUUUCUGAUUUCUCAAUAGAAAAAAAUAGCCCUUAGUUGCUCUUUAACCUUCCUUUUAUCCCUCCCAAAGUGGCAUUUGACCAGUUACCUUUUGUGUUUCUUUUUACAGCCUACACAUUUACCUGUGGUUCCUUUUGAUUUCUCUAAAGUCCUUCGAACCUUUGUAAAGAAUAGGAUUGUGAAGAUAGUUGUUUCUGUUCAUUCCCUCACAAACUCAAUUCAACUAGAUUAGUUCAGAAAACUGAUCCAUGAAAGAAAGCCCCAUAGCGUGAAAAAAAGUCAUUAAAAAUGCUGAGACCAGGCCUUAAAAAACUAGAUAUCAGUUCAAUUUGCCAAAUUUUAAAAAAUCUAACUGAAGCAAAAUAAUAUCCCUAGCCCACUAAGAGUUCUAAAAUUUAGAUUUUUGUCACAUGCUAUAUAGUUAAAUCAAUUAUUUCUUGUUUAUCAUAUUACAUUAGCUCAGACCUAAAAAAUCUGGUCCAGAGUCCUUCAGUUAACCUGAAGCGGGUCAAUGAUGUUUUCCUGCUGAUAAAAGACCUCUUGUCCUAUUGGGGUUGGUGAUGAGGACCACAUUAAGAUCAGAUCCUUUGACAGGCACUAGAUAAAUGUAAGAUUAUGACUGGACUUAGAAUUUAGAUUUAACAAGGAAAAAAAUGCUAUACCCUACAAUAAAUAAAAUGUUUCCAUGUA